AUUGAACGCUGGCGGAAUGCUUACACAUGCAAGUCGAACGGCAGCACGGGGGCAACCCUGGUGGCGAGUGGCGAACGGGUGAGUAAUACAUCGGAACGUGCCCAGUCGUGGGGGAUAACGUAGCGAAAGUUACGCUAAUACCGCAUACGAUCUACGGAUGAAAGCGGGGGACCGUAAGGCCUCGCGCGAUUGGAGCGGCCGAUGUCAGAUUAGGUAGUUGGUGAGGUAAAGGCUCACCAAGCCGACGAUCUGUAGCUGGUCUGAGAGGACGACGAGCGACGCUGGGACUGAGACACGGCCCAGACUCCUAGGGGAGGCAGCAGUGGGGAAUUUUGGACAAUGGGCGCAAGCCUGAUCCAGCCAUUCCGCGGGCAGGACGAAGGCCUUCGGGUUGUAAACUGCUUUUGUACGGAACGAAAAGGCUCUGGUUAAUACCUGGGGCUCAUGACGGUACCGUAAGAAUAAGCACCGGCUAACUACGUGCCAGCCGCCGCCGUAA
rnacentral:rRNA from 1 species